GGAGGGCGCAAGCGUUGUUCGGAAUCACUGGGCGUAAAGCGCGUGCAGGCGGCUUGGUAAGUCGGGUGUGAAAUCCCGGAGCUCAACUCCGGAACUGCACCCGAUACUGCCUCGCUAGAGUCUCGGAGAGGAUGGCGGAAUUUCCGGUGUAGAGGUGAAAUUCGUAGAUAUCGGAAGGAACACCAGCGGCGAAGGCGGCCAUCUGGACGAUGACUGACGCUCAGACGCGAAAGCGUGGGGAGCAAACAGGAUUAGAUACCCUGGUAGUCCACGCUGUAAACGUUGGGUGCUAGGCGUCGUGGGUAUUGACCCCCGCGGUGCCGAAGCUAACGCAUUAAGCACCCCGCCUGGGGAGUACGGUCGCAAGACUA
rnacentral:rRNA from 1 species